rnacentral:rRNA from 1 species
AAACCAACAGGGAUUGCCUCAGUAGCGGCGAGUGAAGCGGCAAGAGCUCAGAUUUGAAAUCGCAGCGGCAACGCGGCGAGUUGUAGAUUGCAGGUGGGAGAGUUUGCGGGCGGCGGGCGUCGAAGUCCCUUGGAACAGGGCGCCACUGAGGGUGAGAGCCCCGUGCGAUGCCUGCCCAUGCUUUGAACUCCCCUCUGACGAGUCGAGUUGUUUGGGAAUGCAGCUCUAAGCGGGUGGUAAAUUCCAUCUAAGGCUAAAUACUGGCGAGAGACCGAUAGCGAACAAGUACUGUGAAGGAAAGAUGAAAAGCACUUUGAAAAGAGAGUGAAACAGCACGUGAAAUUGUUGAAAGGGAAGGGUAUUGGGCCCGACAUGGGAAUCGCGCACCGCUGCUCCUCGUGGGCGGCGCUCUGCGCUUUUCCUGGGCCAGCAUCGGUUUCCGCUGCAGGAGAAGGGGCUGUGGAAUGUGGCUGGCACGCUUGCGCGCCAGUGUUAUAGCCACGGGCCAGAUGCUGCGUGUGGGGACCGAGGGCUGCGACGGCAACGUCUCGGAUGC